rnacentral:rRNA from 1 species
UACGUAGGGCGCAAGCGUUAUCCGGAAUUAUUGGGCGUAAAGAGCUCGUAGGUGGUUUGUCGCGUUGUCCGUGAAAACUCACAACUCAAUUGUGGGCGUGCGGGCGAUACGGGCAGACUGGAGUACUGCAGGGGAGACUGGAAUUCCUGGUGUAGCGGUGGAAUGCGCAGAUAUCAGGAGGAACACCGGUGGCGAAGGCGGGUCCCUGGACAACUCCUGACACUGAGGCACGAAAGCUAGGGGAGCAAACAGG